ACGGAAGGCAGCAGUGGGGAAUAUUGCACAAUGGGGGAAACCCUGAUGCAGCAACGCCGCGUGAGCGAAGAAGGUCUUCGGAUUGUAAAGCUCUGUCCUUGGGGACGAAGAAAGUGACGGUACCCAAGGAGGAAGCCCCGGCUAACUACGUGCCAGCAGCCGCGGUAAUACGUAGGGGGCAAGCGUUAUCCGGAAUUAUUGGGCGUAAAGAGUGCGUAGGUGGUUUCGUAAGCGAGGGGUGAAAGCCCGGGGCUUAACUCCGGUCAGCCUUUCGAACUGCGAGACUUGAGUGCAGGAGGGGAAAGUGGAAUUCCUAGUGUAGCGGUGAAAUGCGUAGAUAUUAGGAGGAACACCAGUGGCGAAGGCGACUUUCUGGACUGUAACUGACACUGAGGCACGAAAGCGUGGGGAGCAAACAGGAUUAGAUACCCUGGUA
rnacentral:rRNA from 1 species